rnacentral:piRNA from 1 species
UCCUGGGCCUUUCAACCUUGCGGGCUGUGC